CAUUCCUUUGUGGAACUUCCAUAAACCCCUAGAACAUUCAUAACACCACAUCUCUGGAAAGUAGGCCAUGCUAUCUCUUACCAUUAAGACUAAAGGCUGGUUUAGUCAUCUGAACCACAGCAAUAAAGUAAAGGUUGGUGGCGGGGAAAAGGGGUGCACAGGCUUAUUUUACUACAGUUAAGAAGCUUCAUUGGCAAUGCCUGUUAUCUUCUCCUUCCCAGCCAGUGCAAAGUAACGUGAUUUUUGCACACUUUAUUGCUCCAGUUAACUUGUCAGAAGUUGUUCAUUGCUGUUUGUAGGGAGAUAUCAAACAAUUCAACAACAGCAAGGGAUUUCUCUCUAACUCACAGCUGCAGUGGAUUAAAGGGAAGGCUUUUGAAGGCACAAAUGGAAGUUGGGUUCCUAACUGCCAUUGAAAGCCAAUGGGAGUUAGGUACCUCACUCUCAUUUGUGCCUUUUGAAAAGGUUUAGGUUGACUGGUGUUUUCUUUAUUUUUUUUUAAAAAAAGGGAAUUUGAAAUAUUCCUUCUCCCCCCAUGCUCCAAUUUUACUUCCAGUUACGUCCAAUUUGCAUCAUACAAGAUGUAGCAUUUGACAUUCCUUGAAACUGUAAUAUAUCAAAUAUCUAAAUGCGGGAGCCUUACAGAGCUCAGUUCUCAUUUGUGCACAACCUCUUCCUACUCCUGGGGGAAUUCUGAGCCACUGUGUGUGCACAGAAUUCAUGUCUCCUGCAGAUUUCUUUGCUUCCCUGCAGAAAAAUGACUUUCUGACAGGGAAGUGAAGGGAAGCUGCAAGAGCAGUAACACACCACUCCCUAGCAGCACAGGUACGUUGUUUCAGGCACCCGGAACAGCUGUCAGAGAGAAAGAA